rnacentral:lncRNA from 10 species
UACCCAUCCGACAAAUGGCUAAUAUCCAGAAUCUACAAGGAACUGAAACAAAUUGAUAAGAACAAAAACAAACAACCCCAUCAUAAAAUAGGCAAAGGAUAUGAACAGAUAGUUCUCAAUAGGAGAUAUUUAUUCAGCCAACAAACAUUUGAAAAAAAGCUCAUCAUCCCUGGUCAUUAGAGAAAUGCAAAUCAAAAUCACAAUGAGAUACCAUCUCACGUCAGUC